rnacentral:rRNA from 1 species
UGAACGCUGGCGGCGUGCCUACUACAUGCACGUCGAGCGAACAGACGAGGAGCUUGCUCCUCUGACGUUAGCGGCGGACGGGUGAGUAACACGUGGAUAACCUACCUAUAAGACUGGGAUAACUUCGGGAAACCGGAGCUAAUACCGGAUAAUAUAUUGAACCGCAUGGUUCACUAGUGAAAGACGGUUUUGCUGUCACUUAUAGAUGGAUCCGCGCCGCAUUAGCUAGUUGGUAAGGUAACGGCUUACCAAGGCGACGAUGCGUAGCCGACCUGAGAGGGUGAUCGGCCACACUGGAACUGAGACACGGUCCAGACUCCUACGGGAGGCAGCAGUAGGGAAUCUUCCGCAAUGGGCGAAAGCCUGACGGAGCAACGCCGCGUGAGUGAUGAAGGUCUUCGGAUCGUAAAACUCUGUUAUUAGGGAAGAACAAAUGUGUAAGUAACUAUGCACGUCUUGACGGUACCUAAUCAGAAAGCCACGGCUAACUACGUG